GAGAAAUGAUUUCCAUAGAGAGGAGGCUUUGCAUCAUCAGCUGAUCCUCCAGAGAACUGAGAAGGUUUAUAGUCCUGUGACUUCAACACUGCAGGACUCACAUCUGUCAGUCAACACAGCAGAAAGCACAACCACCAUGACUCUCAUCACCAUCCUCAUCUGGACGCUGACCUGCUGCUGUUUUACAGGAUGCAGCGGUCAGGUGACUGUGACUCAACCUCCAGUAGUGACAUCUACUCCUGGAUCCACUGUCACUCUGACCUGUA